rnacentral:rRNA from 1 species
GAUGAACGCUAGCGGCAGGCCUAAUACAUGCAAGUCGAACGGUGUCUUCGGUCAUAGUGGCGCACGGGUGCGUAACACGUAUGCAACCUACCUUACAUUGGGGGAUAGCCUUUCGAAAGGGAGAUUAAUACCGCAUAAGACAGUAGCUGGGCAUCCAGCAGCUGUUAAAGAUUUAUCGAUGUAAGCUGGGCAUGCGUCCAAUUAGCUAGUUGGUGGGGUAACGGCUCACCAAGGCAAUGAUUGGUAGGGGAACUGAGAGGUCAAUCCCCCACACUGGCACUGAGAUACGGGCCAGACUCCUACGGGAGGCAGCAGUAGGGAAUAUUGGGCAAUGGACGCAAGUCUGACCCAGCCAUGCCGCGUGCAGGAUGAAGGCGUUAUGCGUUGUAAACUGCUUUUAUACAGGAAGAAACGACUCUUGCGAGAGGCAUUGACGGUACUGUAUGAAUAAGCACCGGCUAACUCCGUGCCAGCCGCCGCAGUAAUAC